GACGAACGCUGGCGGCGUGCUUAACACAUGCCAGUCGAACGAUGAAGAAAAGAAUUGAAGCUUCGGCAGAAAUUCAUUUCGGAUUAGUGGCAGACGGGUGAGUAACGCGUGAGCAACCUACCUCUUACAAAGGGAUAGCCUCGGGAAACCGGGAUUAAUACCAUAUAACAUUGCGACGAAGCAUUUCGAUGCAAUCAAAGCUACGGCGGUAAGAGAUGGGCUCGUGUCCCAUUAACCAGAUGGUGAGGUAACGGCUCACCAUAGUAACGAUGGGUAACCGGCCUGAGAGGGUGAACGGUCACACUGGAACUGAGACACGGUCCAGACUCCUACGGGAGGCAGCAGUGGGGAAUAUUGCACAAUGGAGGGAACUCUGAUGCAGCGACGCCGCGUGAGUGAUGAAGGAAUUCGUUUCGUAAAACUCUGUUCUAUGGGAAGAAAAGGACUGUACCAUAGGAGAAAGCUCCGGCUAAAUACGUG
rnacentral:rRNA from 1 species